ACUAGAUGUGUGUUGAUGGUCAUAUAUCUAGUGACAAAGUAUCCGCAGUACUUUGUCACUAGAUAUAUGACCAUCAAUACACAUCUAGU
rfam:Acromyrmex echinatior unplaced genomic scaffold scaffold26, whole genome shotgun sequence.